rnacentral:rRNA from 1 species
AUAGCGUAUAUUAAAGUUGUUGUGGUUAAAAAGCUCGUAGUUGGAUCUCAGCCCACGUCCUGACGGUCCACAAUGCGUGGUUACUGUCAGGCUGGGCACUCUACUGCCUCUGUCCUGUGGUGCUCUUUACCGAGUGUCACAGGCGGUCAGUACGUUUACUUUGAAAAAAUUAGAGUGCUCAAAGCAGGCAUCUUCGCCUGAAUACUGUUGCAUGGAAUAAUGAAAUAGGACUUUGGUUCUAUUUUGUUGGUCUUCGGAACCAAGGUAAUGAUUAAGAGGGACAGACGGGGGCAUUAGUAUUGCGACGCUAGAGGUGAAAUUCUUGGACCGUCGCAAGACUAA